AUUAAACUAAUUAAAUAAAGGAAAUAAAAGAUAGAAAAGAGAAAUGGAAACAGAAUAGGCAAACGAAAACAGGGGAGAAAGGAAAGAAAAGAAAAAGGGAAGGAAAGGAAAGGAAGAAAAUUUGGGAUUUCAAGAUUUCAAGCUCAAUUGCUAAUGUCGUGCAAGAGUCAUUGUCCAAGAAAGGGAAGGAGAAGAUGGAUAAGGAUUGACUCGAGAGAAAUUUCGGUUAGUAGAAAGCCAGUGCUCGAUCUAGCAUCCAGAGUAAUCCCGACUUUAGAGAAACUUUAGUGAUGUACCUUUCCUUUGAUAACAUGGCAUGUACCUAAGUAAUGUUUAUACCUAAGUGAUGUAUAGGGAUUAGUCAAUUUGAAUGUUUGUAUCUAUGUAUUGCUAAAGGAAGAUGUGUGAGUAUGUGAUAAUGUUUGGCUUUUAAAAUGGUUAAGUAUGAAUAUGUUUGGUAA